GGAAGGACAAGCCAAUGGGUGAUGGCAACUGUUUCGAAAACAGCCGAGCGUCCGCAAGGAUGCCUUGAGGGUUCGACUCCCUUUCUUUCCG
rnacentral:tRNA from 1 species